rnacentral:lncRNA from 1 species
GAGCUUUGCCUGUCUUCAGGGAUGGAGCCCCUCCCAAGGCAAGUUCAACUGGGUUCUCUGGCAGCCGAAGUCUACAUGGCCCCUGCAGGGAGUGGUGGAGAAAAGUGCCCACUUUGAGGACUUGUUGCACUAGAGCCUUUGAUCUCUGCUGUAGAAAAUGCUCUGCUCCAUUUCAGAAGAGAUUGCCAUGUGCCCCAUUAACUGGCCUUUGGAUCAAACCAGCAACAGACCUCACAGUUAGAAUUCCAGCAUUGGCCAUUCACAAAGAGGU